rnacentral:lncRNA from 1 species
GGGGGGUCGGGGGGACCCCCAUCACCCAUAGGGGAGGUUUGGGGGGCAGUGUGGGGUCAUUGGGACCAUAGGGGGCACUUUGGGGGGUCUGGGGGACCCCCCAUAACACAUGGGGGAGGGUUGGGGGGCACAGGGAGGCAGUGGGACCCACAUAGCACAUAGGAGGGACUUGGGGGGCAGUGGGACCCCCCAUAACACAUAGGGGCUACAGAACCCUUUGGGGACCCCCAAACCCAUAGUGGGGAUUUGGGGGGCUACAGAACCCAAUGGGGACCCUUGUAAGCCAUAGGGGGGGCGCCUGGGGGGCCUCUGGGAUGCAAUUGGGACCCCCAGAACCCAUGGGGGAAAUCCCAGCCCUAUUUGGGGGGGCUCUGGACCCCAAAAGCCAUAAGGGACGUCCCGGUCCUUCUUGGGGGGCUCUGAAUCCCAAUGGGACCCCUUUAACCUAUGGGAGGACUUUGGGGGGUGCUGGGAUGCAUUGGGUCCCCAACACCCAGCAGGACCCCCCCCGACCCCCACUCACCCCAUAUGACCCCCCCAACCCCCUGUGACCCCCCCCUACGACCCCCCCCCGUGCCCCACAGCCGAGUUCAGCAUCUGGGCUGUCCCAAAGUCCACUUGGGGGGCCCCCAAACUCCCCGUGACCCCCCUAUGACCCCCCCUAUGACCCCCAGUGACCCC